UUAAGCAGUGGUAUAAUAUGUAACUGGAAAAGAAAAUCCCUCCUGUUAUAUUUUCCCAUAUACGUUACUAGCACAUGCAAUGCAUGUUAAGAACAAUAGUCUUUUGUUCUGUUCUGUUUAUGAAAAGAAGAAAAAGCAUCCAGAACAAUGGGUGAGAAGAAAUAAAAACCUGUCGCCUAAAUCAAGGGAUUGGUAUUCUCCAAAUCAUUGCUAACGCAUUGAGCCAUUUUCUCUGAUUCAGGCUGCCCCUGCUGAAUUUUAGAGAGCAUCAAAACUUAUUGGUUAAAGGGAUGCCUUUAUGAGUAAAACAAGACAAAUAUGCACUUACUAGGUAAGCAAUUUGUAAGGACUGGAAGUAGAAAUCAAGGAACCAAGACAAGAAGGCUGUCCUAUCAGCUUCAAGAACAACUAAGAGGAUGUUAAAGGACAGCAGAGGGAGCCCCUGCAUGACUUAAGAAAACCGAAGGCAGGCAGAACAGAGACUUUUUAGGAUGCGAAGUUAUGCAUGGUGCCCUCUACUGGAGUCACUGGUAAAGAGUUUUGAUUCCAAAAAGAAAUUCACAUAGAAUUUGUUCUUGUUCCAUUGUAUUGGUGAAGAAACUGAAGUUCAAAGUAAUUGGCAGGACAUACUACUUUAGACAGUUGGGAGUAGAGGCCUAUGGAUACCCAGCAACAGAUUCUUAACGUCUCAGUCCAUUGAUAUAUUCAAAGCCCUACUCUUCUGGAAAAUAUCAUAAGAUUUGAAAAAUAUGGCUGCAAAGAGCAAAAGAAGAUUUGCGUCUCAAUAGAAAAGAUCUACAGAUUGAAUACGGCAUAGAAAACAAUUUAUUCACCUUACAAAGAUGAAAGGAUGAAAAGGCCCUGAGCAGUAAUAAAACUUCUCCACUUUGGGGAGGGCCUCAAGAGGCUGUCUUAUCACACUUGGUAGUUGGAAAAGUAUCCGUAAUCUCAAAGAAAACUUUAAAUAUUGUCCAAGGAAAAUAUCUAAACACAUCUUAAAAUGCCA